CAUUCACCGAGUUAUUACCAACAUCUGCUACCUCAGAGAUUCUGGACACUUCAGUGGGCUAUAGUAUCAGAACUUCUGGAAAUUCACUCAGAGGCGCAUUGGAUUAAUGACAGGUGCUGCAUUCCCUGGUAUUGUGGGCAUAGAAGAUGAGGAUCAGCACCUGUUUUUUUGACGUUUCUGGCCAGGCAUCAAGGCAGAUAUUCAGUGGUGGUGCAAUGUUCCUUGGUGCUGGAUGCUCAUGCCCAUCUGUGAGGAUGGCAUUGUUCCCAUCUAUGAGUUCAGAGUGCCUUUGUCUACAAUCAGCGAUUGGUUUAAUUGAGCAGCCAGUAUUGGAACGAAAAUGCUGUUACUUCCCCACCACCCUCUCAUGUGCCAGAAUGAAGCUGUGGCGACACCUUCCUCAUCCCUGCUGUCACAUAUAUCUGUGUAAGCCUGAACAGCAGAAUGGAAGAAAUCAGUCACCAUUCACAAUGUCUGCUGGCUGCCAAAGAGACGCAUUUCUACUGCAGCCGAAGAUUAUACUGAAAAUCAUUGACAGAACUGGCAUUGACAUAAGUGGGAGAGCUCUCCUGGCAAUCAUCUGUAAGUUCCUACAUGCUGAAAUUCCAUUUUUCCACAAUACAUUUAUUUUCAUUUUCAGCUGUAAUUCACAGGUUUCUUACCCCAAAAAGCCCUGUUAG
ensembl:lncRNA